CCUGGCUCACGAUGAACGCUAGCUACAGGCUUAACACAUGCAAGUCGAGGGGCAGCAUGGUCUUAGCUUGCUAAGGCCGAUGGCGACCGGCGCACGGGUGAGUAACGCGUAUCCAACCUGCCUUACACUCUUGGACAGCCUUCUGAAAGGGAGAUUAAUACAAGAUGUUAUCAUGAGUAAGCAUUUUCGCAUGAUUAAAGGUUUACCGGUGUAAGAUGGGGAUGCGUUCCAUUAGAUAGUAGGCGGGGUAACGGCCCACCUAGUCUUCGAUGGAUAGGGGUUCUGAGAGGAAGGUCCCCCACAUUGGAACUGAGACACGGUCCAAACUCCUACGGGAGGCAGCAGUGAGGAAUAUUGGUCAAUGGACGAGAGUCUGAACCAGCCAAGUAGCGUGAAGGAUGAAGGUUCUAUGGAUUGUAGACUUCUUUUAUACGGGAAUAAACGACUCCACGUGUGGAUUUUUGCAUGUACCGUAUGAAUAUGGAUCGGCUAACUCCGUGCCAGCAGCCGCGGUAAUACGGAGGAUCCGAGCGUUAUCCGAAUUUAUUGGUUUAAAGGGAGCGUAGAUGGGUGUUAAGUCAGUUGUGAAAGUUUGCGGCUCAACCGUAAAAUUGCAAUUGAUACUGGCAGUCUUGAGUACAGUNGAGGUAGGCGGAAUUCGUGGUGUAGCGGUGAAAUGCUUAGAUAUCACGAAGAACUCCGAUUGCGAAGGCAGCUUACUAACCUGUAACUGACAUUGAUGCUCGAAAGUGUGGGUAUCAAACAGGAUUAGAUACCCUGGUAGUCCACACGGUAAACGAUGAAUACUCGCUGUAGGCGAUAUACAGUCUGCGGCCAAGCGAAAGCAUUAAGUAUUCCACCUGGGGAGUACGCCGGCAACGGUGAAACUCAAAGGAAUUGACGGGGGCCCGCACAAGCGGAGGAACAUGUGGUUUAAUUCGAUGAUACGCGAGGAACCUUACCCGGGCUUAAAUUGCAACCGAAUAUGGCGGAAACGCUAUAGCUAGCAAUAGCGGUUGUGAAGGUGCUGCAUGGUUGUCGUCAGCUCGUGCCGUGAGGUGUCGGCUUAAGUGCCAUAACGAGCGCAACCCUUGCCGAUAGUUACUAACAGGUUAUGCUGAGGACUCUGUCGGGACUGCCAUCGUAAGAUGUGAGGAAGGUGGGGAUGACGUCAAAUCAGCACGGCCCUUACGUCCGGGGCUACACACGUGUUACAAUGGGGGGUACAGAGGGCUGCUACCACGCAAGUGGAUGCCAAUCCCAAAAACCUCUCUCAGUUCGGAUUGAAGUCUGCAACCCGACUUCAUGAAGCUGGAUUCGCUAGUAAUCGCGCAUCAGCCACGGCGCGGUGAAUACGUUCCCGGGCCUUGUACACACCGCCCG
rnacentral:rRNA from 1 species